ACUAUGGUAAGUUAUUAAAAACUCAUCCAUUACACCUCCUCCCAGUCCUGCAAACCAACAGAUGUUCUUUCUGAGGCGAAUUUCCGCGUCUUUAUGUAUAUUUUUUUAUUGUGCAAUGGGCAAGCUAGCUUACACUGUCUAGAGAGAUAGUGCAAGCUAGAUUCGACCUCUUGAACACAACUUAAAAACAAAAUAAUAAUUGAUGUCUAAUUAUAAUAUUAUCUGUAAACUUAUUUUCGUCUUUAUUUUCAUUCAUAACUAUUUAUUUUUCUUUAGCCACCAACGAAAGUGAGUACAAAAUCCGUUUAAUACUACCAAUCAGAACUACCUAACCCAUUUAUAUUGUUUAAAAUAUUGACACAUUUAUGAUCUGUUUUCUUUAGGUAAACGUAAGUAGCAUUUAUUUCACUAGUAAUUCGUUUGAUUUCGUAUAAAAUAACGUAUUUUACAAAAAAAAUGAUUGUUUAAUUAUCUUUUAACAUUGCAGUGCAUGUGUUUGACUCGCGGCCCAUUGCCGUUAUUCAAACUCAUCGGUAACCUUAAGUUCAAGAAAAUCAAAAUACCGAGAAAAAAGCAGCAUGUGACUUCAUUAACUGAUGGGCCCUCGACGGUUUGUCCACCUUGUAACUGCGCCGACUGUUUCACUACGGAGCCCAUACAAACUAAACAGAAAAUCGGGUGUUGAUAGAGAGAUCAGCAACCUUUCAUAAUUGUAGUACCUACAGCUACAACUAUCGCAUAUCUGCAACUGAUCUGGGUCUAAUAAAUUAGUAUUGAAGCAUUAAAA